GACGAACGCUGGCGGCGUGCUUAACACAUGCAAGUCGAGCGAGGCCCUCCUUCGGGGGGUGCCCUAGCGGCGAACGGGUGAGUAACACGUGGGCAACCUGCCCUCAGCUCUGGGAUAACUCCAAGAAAUUGGUGCUAAUACCGGAUGUGACCGCUGACCGCAUGGUCUGGUGGUGGAAAGAUUCAUCGGCUGAGGAUGGGCCCGCGGCCUAUCAGCUUGUUGGNGGGGUCACGGCCCACCAAGGCGACGACGGGUAGCCGGCCUGAGAGGGUGACCGGCCACACUGGGACUGAGAUACGGCCCAGACUCCUACGGGAGGCAGCAGUGGGGAAUAUUGCACAAUGGGCGAAAGCCUGAUGCAGCAACGCCGCGUGCGGGAUGACGGCC
rnacentral:rRNA from 1 species